GCUGGGAUGGCGGAACCAGGCUAACGCGCCGGACUUGAGAUCCGGUGGGCUUUUUGCCCGUGCAGGUUCGAAUCCUGCUCCCAGCG
rnacentral:tRNA from 1 species